rnacentral:rRNA from 1 species
UAGGGAAUAUUGCGCAAUGGACGAAAGUCUGACGCAGCGACGCCGCGUGAGUGAUGAAGGUCUUUUAGAUUGUAAAGCUCUGUAAGGAGGGAAGAAAAAAUUAAAAUUGACGGUACCUCCAAAGUAAGGACCGGCUAAACACGUGCCAGCAGCCGCGGUAAUACGUGUGGUCCGAGCGUUGUCCGGAAUGACUGGGCGUAAAGGGUGUGUAGGUGGAUUUGCAAGUCAGGUGUGAAAUCCCUCGGCUUAACUGAGGAACUGCGCUUGAAACUGCAAGUCUUAGAGCAUGUCAGGGGUAAGCGGAAUUCCCGGAGUAGCGGUGAAAUGCGUAGAUAUCGGGAAGAACAUCGGUGGCGAAGGCGGCUUACUGGGACAUUGCUGACACUGAGGCACGAAAGCGUGGGGAGCGAACAGG